UAGAUAAUAGCUAAAGUAAAAAGUACUCCGUUUACAAUGGAGUGAUCAUUCCUUUAUAAGGAUGUUGUCUUA
rnacentral:tRNA from 1 species